UAAGUAAGUGGUGGAAAUUAAACCAAAUGGGAUAUCUUUAGUAAUUGCGAAUGAACAAGGAUAUGCUUAGCUUGACAAAUGGAGCUAUUGGCUUUGAAUUGUAUUGUGGAAAUGUAUUACCAACAGAGGUGCAGGUGCCAGCCUAUUGAAAUAAAGCGUCAAUGAGGGUGAGAAUCCUGUUUGUCAUGUGCAGCCCUUUGUGCACGGUGUAUAUUUGCUGAGUCACACUCCUUGGCAUUGGAAUGCAAAGUGGGUGGUAAGUUUCAUGUAAAGGUAAACAUGCAAUUGAGACUGAUAGCACACAAGUACCAUGAGGGAAAUAUGAAAAGGACUUUGAAAAGAGAAUUAAAUGAGUUUGUAUUUGCUGAACACAAAGUAAACAGACUUGAUUUGCUUGGUGGGAGUGUUGCACUUGCUUGACAAGAGCUUUGGGCUGUGGGUGUAAUGAUUCUUUCUUUGCAUGCCAGUUUCUAUUUGUACAUCUGAUUACCUUUGCACAUGAAUGAUAAGUCUCCUGUGGGGGGUGGAUUGCAUGUGCACGUAAUGAUUUGUGUUUUGAUAAAUGUGUCUGGUGUAUGUGUGUGUUCCUGUGCUUGGGGAUGCUUCCUUCCUUGGACUUACAAGCCCUGACACACACAUGCUGGCAAAAUGCUUCUGCUUGACCCG
rnacentral:rRNA from 1 species